CAUUGUGGACCCACCUGAUUCCAUGCCGAACUCAGAAGUGAAACGCAAUAGCGCCGAUGGUAGUGUGGGGUUUCCCCAUGUGAGAGUAGGACAUCGCCAGGC
rnacentral:rRNA from 1 species